rnacentral:lncRNA from 1 species
AUGGUCCUUCUCGAAUGUCUGCAGUAAUCCUAGCAAAUCAUGGUAGUUCACUGCAGGUUUGGUCAUUUUAUAAUGACUCAAGAAGGAUAGGUAGGACUUUAGUAGCGAGUUUAGGAUACCAUCCUUGCCUAACUAUUCAUGUAACAGAAAGUUAAAUUUGCUUAAGCAUUCAACUACUCGAUCAUAUAUAAUACAUGAUCUGUAACUAGCAUUUCUUCUCACAUAUGGGCAUUGAAUACAAUGUAGGAGGUUUUGUGUCUCUUAGCAUCCUCAAGGGUGCCGAAGGACUCAUUCAAUAAUUAAAUCAUCUCAUCAGAUUGUGCAUCCUCAAACUUACAACUAAGUUCAUCAUUCAUGGCUACCCUCAUAACGUAAUGCACUGUAGUGCGAUCACUGAGCCACUUCAUAUAAAUGUCUCUGCCAGCAUGGGAUGUAUUGACAAUAGGUUCUUUAGAUGUGGGAUCCAUAAGCACGUACAGGAUCUUUUCAUGCUCCAAGAUAAUCUUAAGUUUUUGAUACCAACUAUCAAAAUUUGAUCCGAUAAGCUUGUCGCUGUCCAACAGCAAUCGAAGAGAUAAUGUGUUGGCCAUAGCUGAAAAGAAAAAUAAAACCUAUUAGUAUAUGAAUUAUUUAAAUCCUAAGGAUAUGGACUUUAGUCUAAAGGUCCUUCCACUAUUUAAUAUGAAUUGAUAGCCUCUAUCUCCAAUUUGAGAAAUUACAUUAAUCCUUUAGCGGGUACUAGAAUCCACAUAGACUGCAUUCAGACCCGAGUGUGACUCAACCAACCAUAGUGUAUCCUUGGAUAGAUUCUUAAUUAAUUAUUUCAUCAAACAAUUUCUAGCAAUUAGGUCUUGCCCCAAGCAUCUUUUCAGUAGGCGUGUGGCAUCUCCACUGAAAAUCUUGAUUAGGUCUCACCAUUAACAUGACAAUACCAAGUGCAUCCAACAAACGAAUACCCAGACCCAAGUGUGGCUCGGCCAACCUGAUCAUUGAUCUGAAGGGCACAAUAAGGUGGUUAUAUGAUGAAUGAUAAUUUCAAUAUCCAAUAGACACCAGGCAUAUGGCACCUCCAAUGCCUAUUUAGAAUAUUGGAUGUAUUAUCAUGCACCUUAAUGGGAGGCUAUGAACAAAUUAUCCUCAUAACUGUAUCAUUUUAAGGA